rnacentral:rRNA from 1 species
AGAGUUUGAUCCUGGCUCAGGAUGAACGCUAGCGGCGCGCCUUAUGCAUGCAAGUCGAACGGUCUCUCGCAAGAGAGAUAGUGGCAAACGGGUGAGUAAUAGAUAAAUAACCUGCCUUUAAGUGGGGGAUAACACUUCGAAAGAAGUGCUAAUACCGCAUGUGAUGCUCUUUCAUAAGAAGGAUCAUUAAAACCGCAAGGUGCUUGAAGAGGGGUUUGUCUCCGAUUAGCUUGUUGGUGGGGUAACGGCCUACCAAGGCAAUGAUCGGUAGCUGGUCUGAGAGGAUGGUCAGCCACACUGGAACUGAGACACGGUCCAGACUCCUACGGGAGGCAGCAGCAAGGAAUCUUGGGCAAUGGGCGAAAGCCUGACCCAGCGACGCCGCGUGAGGGAUGAAGGCCUUCGGGUUGUAAACCUCUUUUCUCAGGGAAGAAUAAUGACGGUACCUGAGGAAUAAGUCUCGGCUAACUACGUGCCAGCAGCCGCGGUAAUACGUAGGAGGCGAGCGUUAUCCGGAUUUAUUGGGCGUAAAGUGGGCGUAGGUGGUCUUUCAAGUCAGAUGUGAAAUCUCCCGGCUCAACUGGGAGGGGUCAUCUGAUACUGUUGGACUUGAGUAUGGCAGGAGAAAACGGAAUUCCCGGUGUAGUGGUGAAAUGCGUAGAUAUCGGGAGGAACACCAGAGGCGAAGGCGGUUUUCUAGGCCAAAACUGACACUGAGGCCCGAAAGCGUGGGGAGCGAACAGGAUUAGAUACCCUGGUAGUCCACGCCCUAAACACUGGGUACUAGGUAUAGGGAGUAUCGACCCUUUCUGUGCCGAAGCUAACGCUUUAAGUACCCCGCCUGGGGAGUACGGUCGCAAGACUAAAACUUAAAGGAAUUGACGG